CAUUAAGAAGCUAUGAAUCAGCACUAGCCUUUUAAGCUAGAGAAAGAGAAAUACAAUUCUCCUUAAUGA
rnacentral:tRNA from 1 species